GGUCUCUAUCAGUUAGAAAUAAUUUGCCAUUUAUCAAUCUACAACUUAACCCAGCUUGGGACUUUAUCAAUAGUAAACGAGUAGAAGAGUAAACAGUAAACUUCACAAAGUGAAGUUACACGCCCUAGAGCAGGAUUGGCAGUUGAGAGCUGGAGCCCCAGCCUGCUCUGUUCAGCACAGGAACACAGCACUUCGAUUCAUCUGUGCAUCAUCUGUGGCUGCUUGUGUGCUACUGCGACAGAGAUCUACUUCUUUAUUAUCUUUUUGGAGAACAGGAAUCUUUGUCUGGAAAUUCCACACGUUUGCCUUCUGCAAGAUUAAAAGUGCCACAAAGAACAAAAAUGAGCCUAGGACCAGGUGCACACUAGAAGCCAUUAGACAUGUUAAAGUUUCAUCUCCAUUGACCUGGUAAGCCUGAUAGUAUAAAUGCACUUUUACCUCUUUAAAUAUUAUCAGUGGUAGAAAGUACAUGGCAGGUUUAGGGGAGCCAGGUGGAAUGUGGUUUUGAGCCUUGUGACCUGCGUGUUAGUUAAUGAGUGCUUAGACUGAACCUUUGCAUUUAAUGCUCAGGACAAAUAGCUGAUGAGGGGAGGGGCCGGAACUACAGGAGCAACUCCCUUUGAUCACUUGCCAGUAGAGCAAGGCCUUGGUAAUAACUGCAAGUUAAUAGGCUGAUGUGGCCAUGGCAAAGCCCUGGUGCAAUCCUUGCUAUUGGGGGCAGGAGACAGGAACCCACGUGGGGCAUGGUACUGACAGGGACCCACAUGGGGAAUGGUAAUGACAGGGACGCACGUGGGGAAUGGUAACAUAACAAGUGGUGGAGGACUUUCCACCUUACAUAUAGUCAUCCCUGGCUAUUAAGGUAGAUACUAUCUUCAUCAUCUUUAUUUUACAGAUCUAGAAAUGGAGUCACUGGUAGGUAAAGUAAUUUGCCUGAGGUGAUGCAACCACAGUGACAGAGCUGGCAUUUGAACAGAGCCUGGCUGUAGCCUCCAUUUAAUAAACUGCACACCAAAUAUUUCUCCCAGGGAAGGAAGCCACAGUGUGCUGCUUUUUUGGGCUUCCUCUGCAACCUACUCUGGCAUACAGGUCCUGCUCUCUUAUUAGUCUUAGACUGCUUUCUUAUGGAUGAAAUGGGAAUGCUGACGCCUGCUUUAAAUUGUUAGUGGGAUUGAAUGUCUGCAAAGAGUUGCUGCUCAGUCAAAGAGAAAAAGUAAAACA
rnacentral:lncRNA from 1 species